UCUCUCUCUCUCACUCUCACUUCACACACUCACACCCACCCAGAGAGAGAGAGAGAGAGAGAGAGAGAGAGAAUGUGGAGGAGCUCUUGGGGCUCCUCUGAAAAUGGACACUCCAGUGAAGAACCAACUUGCCACCACUUCUAAGUUUGAGGAUUCUCCUGUAUUUAAUUACAUCAGCAAUCUUUCUCCUAUCGAGCCAGUGAAGUCCAUGCCCACUGAUCAUGCCUUUACUUCACUAACUUUUGCAACCCCUUCAUUAGUUUUUCCUUCACCACAAAUUGGUAUCCACAAAGAAUCUAGAUUUUCAAUUAGAAGUUUAGCAAGAGCGAUUACUACUGAGCCAACUGAUGAGCCCUCGGAACUAGUUAUCUUCUACAUGUUUAGCUUACCACUCUCUGCUAAAUCCUAAAAUUUCUCACACUUACCAUCAGUUUAUGAGUUAUCAUUCUUUGUUCAACCCUAAAAUCUCUUACACUUACUGCUUGUUGAUGAGGAUUAGGUGCAAAUGGUAGGAUGGUUAAGGAAUUGAAGAAGUUACUUCUUUAUCUCAGGUCCCACCUCAGUACACACUACAAUGUAUAUGUGGCAAGGGCUUAUAAAAAAAAAAAGGCAGACAUGGCAAGGGAAGGUAAAAGUAAAGGCAAAAUCAUCACACCAAAAGCUACUCAAGAGAUUACUAUUCUUUUUUACCAAAAACUGAAUGGAGCUUGGACGACUUUUAGUGAAUACCCAAGAUCUGAGCUCGAAACUCUAUAAGCAACCAAAUGAGGAAGUGAAGAAAGAAUUUGUAGAAUUGGUGAAACGCUGUUAUUCUGAUUGGAUGUUUCACAUUAAAAAUCCUAUUUUUAAGAAGUACACAGAGAAAGAAGAUCAUUAUAAGAAUGGUCUUUCCUUCAUUUCUACACUCUUUUGGAAAAAGAUGGUGGAUAAAUGGAUGGAUGGAGAUUAGGGGGAUGGUACUAGUAGAUAUGAAGAGGACAACUCAAUUAAUAACACGAGGGAGCUUGAAAACAGCUUGGAGGGUAACUCAGAGGAACACUAGUAUAGAUCUUGUCAUAAUUCUAGUUGUUUAAGUUUAAAACAAGGUUUAAUUUCAAGAUUUCUUUGUAUAUUCUAUAUUUUAAAGUUUGAAAUUAUAUGAAUUUUUAUCUUUCAAUUGAUCAA